rnacentral:rRNA from 1 species
GAUGAACGCUGGCGGCGUGCUUAACACAUGCAAGUUGAACGGAAAGGCUCCUGCUUGCAGGGGUACUCGAGUGGCGAACGGGUGAGUAACACGUGGGUGAUCUGCCCUGCACUUCGGGAUAAGCCUGGGAAACUGGGUCUAAUACCGGAUAGGACCACAUUUUGGAUGGUGUGGUGGAAAGUUUUUCGGUGUGGGAUGAGCUCGCGGCCUAUCAGCUUGUUGGUGGGGUAAUGGCCUACCAAGGCGUCGACGGGUAGCCGGCCUGAGAGGGUGUACGGCCACAUUGGGACUGAGAUACGGCCCAGACUCCUACGGGAGGCAGCAGUGGGGAAUAUUGCACAAUGGGCGCAAGCCUGAUGCAGCGACGCCGCGUGGGGGAUGACGGCCUUCGGGUUGUAAACUCCUUCCGCUAGGGACGAAGCGCAAGUGACGGUACCUGGAGAAGAAGCACCGGCUAACUACGUG